rnacentral:sRNA from 1 species
CCGCGCAUUUACGCGCAAUUAAGCUUUCUCGCAUAUUACUUAAAUUGUCCUUGUUUGGACACCGAGUGGCUCCUGUCCACUCUGUUUGACGCCUCCCUGUUAUCAACUUUAAAGCCGCCGGAAACGGCGGCUCUUUUUUG